rnacentral:rRNA from 1 species
UAGAUUUGAUGUGGUGUAGAAAUGUUAAUUGUAAUAGUGAAAUGUGUAUAUAAUUGGUAUAAAAUUUAUUUGAUAUGGGUAGCUUAUAAAGGUAGAUAUUCUAUUCACGAAAGCUUGAGGUGUGACAGGGAUUAGAUACCCCAUUAAUUCAAGUGAUAAAUUAUGGCUUAUUGUAGAUUGGAUCUAUUUUUAACAUGUGAAGGUUCUUAACCUAAAGAGUACGCUUUCAUAAGUGAAACUUAAAUGUUCUGGUGGUGGUUUAAAACAAUAGUGGAAUAGAUGAUUUAAUUCGAUGUUAUGCGAUAAAGCUUAUCAGUUAUCUGAAAGAAUACCUAGGUAUAGGUAGAAUUCUAUUUUAGGUAGUGCAUGGCUGUAUUUAAAGGUAAUGUUUUGUAAUAUCUGGUUCAGUUCAGGAAUAGCCGAUACACUUCAAGAAAUAAAGGUUGCGCAUAUUAACUAAUCUUAGCUAAUUUAAUUGGGCUUGAUACUUGAAAUCACUUAUAGAUAGAAUAACGUCGAGUCAUUAUGCUCUUUUGUUCGGAGAUAUUCAUGUGUUACAAGGAGAGCUAUAUAGCUACUUAUAAAUGAGUAAAUCAAAUGUUAUCAUCCGGUAUUGAAAAUUGAAAUCUUUUUAUGAAGCAGAAAUUAUUAGGAAUCUUUGGUUAGUUAUUUAAAGGUGGACAGGAGAUAAAUUUUGCACAUACCGCCCGUCAAGCAAAAAGCAGAGAUGUAGAUGAAAACAGACCUGCACACAAGUGUGAAAUGGGCAUGCUAAUUUGUGUUAAGUCGAAACAUGGUUGCUCAUCAGGAAUGAUGAGCUGGACUUUU